rnacentral:rRNA from 1 species
CGCGUAGGCGGGAAUGCAAGUCAGAUGUGAAAUCCAGGGGCUUAACCCUUGAACUGCAUUUGAAACUGUAUUUCUUGAGUGUCGGAGAGGUUGACGGAAUUCCUAGUGUAGCGGUGAAAUGCGUAGAUAUUAGGAGGAACACCAGUGGCGAAGGCGGUCAACUGGACGAUAACUGACGCUGAGGCGCGAAAGCGUGGGGAGCAAACA